CGGACUAGCUUCAUCCAGCAAACUGCUGCCUCUGACAGUCUGAUGUCCAUUUUCCCAGCCUGUACUGAGUGUCAAUCAUGGGCCUGAGUGAAAGAGACAUGACCCCUGACUGCCUUGGAAGAGCCGGCUUAGGACAGGAUAGGGUGGGAGGGCAGUGGAUCCACGGGUCCCAAAACGGGUGGUGAGUAGCCAACUGGUGAGCAGACAGGCACUGGGGAGCCACUGAAAAUUCUUAAGCAGAAGACCAAGGCAACUAGACACCAGCCAUCAAGAGCUGCUUAUGCGGGAGGCCCUCGGUGACUCACUUGCUCCUACUUCCCUGGGACUAUCUUCCUCAUACCACCUGCAGACCCAGAAGUCAAGCCUGUAGGAUGAAACCUGUCCAUCCACGAGAUGGGAAGCUGCCAGUAAUGAUCGAAGAGGCACAGUCAAUGUGAGUGCUUUUCUCUGCCCACUCAGAACUCCUCAAAACUUGACAGUGGGCACAAAACAACGUGGCUCUGCCCCAAGCACAAGGACAAGGGGGAAAAGGACAGGUGGCAAAGCAUUCACAAAAGCUAACAGGAGAAAAGGCAGAUUGGUUUCUUUUCCUACAACGUAGGAGCUUUUAUUACUAGAAAAUAAAAUCCUGUCUGAGCAAAUGCCAGGAAAACGAUUAAGGGCUCAAUUUAGAUUGGGAGGCUUGGUUGGGCACUGCUAGGCAGGGAGCUAAACAAUGUCAGCCCCACUCUCUAUGCACAUCACGUUUGGGGUGAGUGGCCCGAGCCCCAGCCAGGCCUUUCACCACCAGUUUUGUAGAAUUACAGUUAAGCUUUGGCCACUUGGUUUCAGUUAAAAGGAUUGUGUGGAAGGAAGGAUAAAAGGCUCUUGCACGCAGACCAGCUAUUGCGUCUGAGGACUAAGAAGAAAUGCAGCCAGGGUGGUGCCAGACCUUGAAGAAACCCUUCUUCCCUGUGGUUCUCAGGCUCUCCAGCCUGACCCAGGAAGGGCAGGAGAGGUAGAGGAGCACGGGCUGGCUUUGAGUCAGACAGGCCCGGGUUGGAGUCCCCAUUCUACUG
rnacentral:lncRNA from 10 species